UAGUCUCUGAACCGGUUCAUACCAAAUAGAGGAAACCCUAAAUCCCUCAUUUCUUUCUCCGUUCACGCUAAAACAUGGAAACAAACCUCACUCUCAAAAGCCAAACACAUAAACGCAGCAAAAUCAGCUCAAGAACAAUAAACCCUAAUCCCAAUCAAUCCCUAAUCCAUUAUGAUUCAUGAGAUAAUUACAUCAGAUUACAUGAGAAAACAACGAUAAAUGCCAGAAAAGAAAGAACUUGGUGAAGACUACCUCGUGUACGAUCUCGAUUUGAACCAUGUUGCAAGUUGGCAAGGGUGCAAGUUGGAGUUACUUAGCUCAUGGAGAUAACUUGAAAAUUACUAUGCAAGAUGAAGUGGAUUGCUUGCAAGUUAGACUAGGAAUGUUGUUAUAAGUCUAUUUGACCUUGGUAGAAACAUAAAUUUUUUGCCAUGUAUUUAAGUAACUUGUAAUGGAUUCUUGAUGUUGAAAUAUAGCUUUAAUUUUUCAAGAA